GAAGCCUGCACACCCGGGGCCCUCCUGCCACUAUCCUGCUGCACCCGUCUCAUCUUCCUUCCAGGAAUUCUGACCUCUCCAGUGAGGGCAGCUCAGAGUCUGGGAGGGGGACCCUCUUCCAACCACAGCCACAUCACCUUCGUCCCAAGUCAGCCCUGCACGUCGUAUCCACCCUCCCCUCUGCCGGAAUGAGAUAGUCAAGGCAAACUGAAUUGCUCUUCGUGCAGAGGCCCUCCCAUGACCAUGAGUAGAAGGUGCCCCCAACAUGCUUCUAAGACUGGACAAGUGGAAUCCACAGCUGAGGCCUGGAGGAUCCCAGACCAGGAGGGCUGCCUCCCCCGCAGUCCCGGCCAGACCCCUGCCAGCAUUCUCAGAUCUCUUCCAAACUUCCUGUUGGUGCCCUGGCCCUGCUGGGCAGCAAGGUAGCACAGGCGUCUCCCAUUCCUGCUGAGCCCUGGGCUGCCAGGGUGUUCAGGGCCCACCUGGGGAGCCAUUCACAAACGCAGCCUCCCCCUUGGGGGGGGCUGGGACCUGGGAAUCUGUAUGAAGGAACCUCCCUGCAGGAGUCUCCCCAACCCUUCAGCCUGCACGGCCCCCUCACAACUACUCCUCUCCUGUGGCCUUGCCUCACCCUCCUGAGGCCCUUCUCAGGCUCUGCCCACUCACACCUCUCCCUACUGCCCCAUGUCCACCCCACAGCCUCAGUAGCCUGGGUGUCUUCCCAGAUACCAGCAGGGCCCACAGCUCCCCACUUGCCCUGAAGUGAGGGGCUGGGGCAGACCCCCAGACAGGACAGGCCCUGCCCCACAGAUGGGGCACCAAUCCCCGUCAGGGCACCCGGGCACAGGUGCUGAUGGGCUGGUGGAAAAGGAACAAGGCUGAAG
rnacentral:lncRNA from 1 species